UACGAAGGGGGCUAGCGUUGCUCGGAAUCACUGGGCGUAAAGGGUGCGUAGGCGGGUCUUUAAGUCAGGGGUGAAAUUCUGGAGCUCAACUCCAGAACUGCCUUUGAUACUGAAGAUCUUGAGUCCGGGAGAGGUGAGUGGAACUGCGAGUGUAGAGGUGAAAUUCGUAGAUAUUCGCAAGAACACCAGUGGCGAAGGCGGCUCACUGGCCCGGUACUGACGCUGAGGCACGAAAGCGUGGGGAGCAAACAGG
rnacentral:rRNA from 1 species